CAGACCUCUUGUCAAUUAUAUGAAACCAAGCUGCUUAUUUUCUUCCAAUCAACAAUAAAAACACAAACAAAAAAAAGCCUUUUCUCCAUUACAUCUCAUUACAAGUCACAAAUGAAAUGAAUGUUCAGACCUGUGUGAGAUUCUGGCAGAAUUUUGGCUGAUUCCUCAAUAGUCCUAAAUUACAGUAUAUACUCGAGUAUAAGUCUAGUUUUUCAGCACAUUUUUUGUGCUUAAAAACCCCCACUCGACUUAUACUCGAGUCACUGUCUGUAUUAUGGCAACUUAGAGAGCCGCGGCCGUCAGAGCCAUGGCAACGAUCCGCACGGCAACCAGACCGCGAGAUUUACAGUGGAGCUGACCGGAACGGAGGAGAAGGGAGCUGACAGGAGCUGCAGGAAAGGUAAGUAAAUGCUUCCUGCUGCCCCCCCCCACUUCACAGCCCAUCCACUGGACCACCAGGGAUUAAGAUAGCUCCCCUCCCUGACCAGUUAACAAAGAGGAGGGGGUACAAAAAAAAAAUUUAAAUAAAAAAAUUAUAAUAUUAAAAUAAAUAAAAAUUAAAAUAAUAAAAAUGCCCUCCCCCCACCCAGUUUACACACUACACAUACACACACUCUGCAUUAUAUACACAGUGUGUGUAUAUAAUGCAGAGUGUGUGUUUGUAUGAGUGUGUGUGUGCGUAUAUAAUGCAGAGUGUGUGUUUGUAUGAGUGUGUGUGUAUAUAAUUAUAAAAAUCACAGAAUUUCAUAGCCUCAAGAUUUACCCUCGACUUAUCCACGAGGCAUAGCAUAUUUCACAAUUGUUUGUCACAAAACUGCACUCGACUUAUACAUGAGAUCGACUUAUACACGAGUAUAUACGGUAAGAAAAAAUGGAAUUGGGUCUAAAACGAAUACCACGUUUAGUGACAAUUAAGAUUUCUGCAUAGGGUACAAAGCUUCUUACACACUUUUUAAAAUAUGAAAUUGUAAAUCCAUG